UACGGGGGGAGCAAGCGUUGUUCGGAUUUACUGGGCGUAAAGGGCGCGUAGGCGGUCAGCACAAGUCAGUUGUGAAAUCUCCGGGCUUAACCCGGAAAGGUCAGCCGAUACUGCAGGGCUAGAGUGCAGAAGGGGCAACUGGAAUUCUCGGUGUAGCGGUGAAAUGCGUAGAUAUCGAGAGGAACACCUGCGGCGAAGGCGGGUUGCUGGGCUGACACUGACGCUGACAGCGCGAAAGCUAGGGGAGCGAACGGG
rnacentral:rRNA from 1 species